rnacentral:rRNA from 1 species
GACGAACGCUGGCGGCGUGCCUAAUACAUGCAAGUAGAACGCUGAAGGAGGAGCUUGCUUCUCCGGAUGGGUUGCGAACGGGUGAGUAACGCGUAGGUAACCUGCCUGGUAGCGGGGGAUAACUAUUGGAAACGAUAGCUAAUACCGCAUAACAGUAGAUAUCGCAUGAUAUCUGCUUGAAAGGUGCAAUUGCAUCACUACCAGAUGGACCUGCGUUGUAUUAGCUAUUUGGGGAGGUAACGGCUCACCAAGGCGACGAUACAUAUCCGACCUGAGAGGGUGAUCGGCCACACUGGGACUGAGACACGGCCCAGACUCCUACGGGAGGCAGCAGUAGGGAAUCUUCGGCAAUGGACGGAAGUCUGACCGAGCAACGACGCGUGAGUGAAGAAGGGUUUCGGAUCGUAAAGCUCUGUUGUAAGAGAAGAACGAGUGUGAGAGUGGAAAGUUCACGCUGUGACGGUACCUUAACAGAAAGGGACGGCUAACUACGUG